CAGCCGCCGCGGGAAAACGGAGGGUGCAAGCGUUAAUCGGAUUUACUGGGCGUAAAGCGUGCGUAGGCGGCUUUUUAAGUCGGAUGUGAAAUCCCUGAGCUUAACUUAGGAAUUGCAUUCGAUACUGGGAAGCUAGAGUAUGGGAGAGGAUGGUAGAAUUCCAGGUGUAGCGGUGAAAUGCGUAGAGAUCUGGAGGAAUACCGAUGGCGAAGGCAGCCAUCUGGCCUAAUACUGACGCUGAGGUACGAAAGCAUGGGGAGCAAACAGGAUUAGAUACCCCCGUAGUCCCUGUCUCUUAUAC
rnacentral:rRNA from 1 species